rnacentral:rRNA from 1 species
AGUUAAGGAAAUAAGAGCAUAAGGUGAAUGCCUUGGCACUAAGAGCCGAAGAAGGACGUGACGAACUACGAAAAGCUACGGGGAGUUGUAAGUAAGCAGAGAUCCGUAGAUAUCCGAAUGGGGGAACCCGGCAGCAGAAGGCUGUCACAUCUAGCAAUAGAUGGGGGAACGCAGUGAACUGAAACAUCUUAGUAACUGCAGGAAAAGAAAGCAAUUUAGCGAUUUCUUAAGUAGCGGCGAGCGAAAGAGAAGCAGCCCAUUUAACCAAUUCAAGAGUUACAAAACUUUAUUAUAGUCAAAUCGUAUUGGAAAAGCGAAGCGAAGAGGGUGAAACUCCCGUAGACGAAAUAGUAAAGACUCGGGUUAAAGAAGAGUACGGCGAGGCACGUGGAACCUUGUCGGAAGAACGGAGGACCAUCUCCGAAGGCUAAAUACUACUUAGUGACCGAUAGUGAACCAGUACCGUGAGGGAAAGGUGAAAAGAACCCUGGGAAGGGAGUGAAAGAGAACUUGAAACCAUAUGCUUACAACAAGUCAGAGCCCGUUAAAGGGUGAUGGCGUGCCUUUUGUAGAAUGAACCGGCGAGUUAUGAUAACAUGCGAGGUUAAGCUUUUAGGAGUGGAGCCGCAGCGAAAGCGAGUCUGAAUAGGGCGGAUAUAGUAUGUUGUUAUAGACCCGAAACCGUGCGAGCUAGACAUGAACAGGUUGAAGUUGCGGUAACACGCAAUGGAGGACCGAACCGUAGUCCGUUGAAAAGGGCCCGGAUGAUUUGUGUCUAGGGGAGAAAUUCCAAUCGAGCUCGGAGAUAGCUGGUUCUCACCGAAAUAGCUUUAGGGCUAGCGUCGAACGAUAAAAUGUGUUGGGGGUAAAGCACUGAAUGUAUAAUGGCUUCGCAAGGAGUACUGAAUGCAAUCAAACUCUGAAUACUGACAUAUAAGUUCGGCAGUCAGACUACGGGUGAUAAGGUCCGUGGUCAAGAGGGAAACAGCCCAGAUCGCCAGUUAAGGUCCCAAAAUUUAUGCUAAGUGGGAAAGGAAGUGGAUCCGUAUAGACAUCUAGGAGGUUGGCUUAGAAGCAGCCAUCCUUUAAAGAGUGCGUAACAGCUCACUAGUCGAAUAGAUCUGCGCCGAAGAUGUACCGGGGCUAAGCAUAAUACCGAAACUGCGGAAUUGAUACAUAAGUAUUGAUUGGUAGGUGAGCGUUCUAAGUGCGUCGAAGCAGUACCGUGAGGAGCUGUGGAGCGCUUAGAAGUGAGAAUGCCGGUAUGAGUAACGAAAAGAUGGGUGAGAAUCCCAUCCGUCAAAAGUCCAAGGUUUCCAGGGGAAGGUUCGUCCGCCCUGGGUUAGUCAGGUCCUAAGGUGAGGCUGAAAAGCGUAGCCGAUGGCCAACAGGUUGAUAUUCCUGUACUACCUAAUAGACAGAAGGAGUGACGGAGAAAGAUAACCAGAGCAGACUGGAGGAAUAGUCUGUUUAAGGCAACGAGGGAGUGUGGUAGGCAAAUCCGCCAUGCAUUGAUCCUGAGUGCUGACGACGCAAGUCUGGUGAAUCUCGGCUUCCAAGAAAAGCUUCUAUGAUUAAUUUAUUAGGUACCUGUACCGUAAACCGACACAGGUGGACGAGGAGAGAAUCUAACGACGCGCGAGAUAACCCUUGUUAAGGAACUCGGCAAAUUGACCCCGUAAGUUCGCGAGAAGGGGAGCUUUAAGUAAUUAAAGCCGCAGAGAAGCGGCCCAAGCAACUGUUUACCAAAAACACAGGUUUCUGCUAAAUCGCAAGAUGAAGUAUAGGAGCUGACACCUGCCCAGUGCUGGAAGGUUAAGAGGAGAUGUUAGCGCAAGCGAAGCAUUGAAUUGAAGCCCCAGUGAACGGCGGCCGUAACUAUAACGGUCCUAAGGUAGCGAAAUUCCUUGACAGGUAAGUUCUGUCCCGCACGAAUGGUGUAAUGACUUGGGCACUGUCUCAACAAGGGACUCGGUGAAAUUUUAGUACCUGUGAAGAUGCAGGUUACCCGCGACUAGACGGAAAGACCCCAUGGAGCUUUACUGUAGCUUGAUAUUGAUAUUCGGUAACGGAUGUACAGGAUAGGUGGGAGACUGCGAAGCCGGGACGUUAGUUUCGGUGGAGUCAACGUUGGGAUACCACCCUUCGGUUGCUGGAUAUCUAACCUGCGGAUGUGUAAUCCGGGGGACAGUGUCUGGUGGUCAGUUUGACUGGGGCGGUCGCCUCCCAAAGAGUAACGGAGGCGCACAAAGGUUGGUUCAGAAUGGUUGGGAAUCAUUCGGUGAGUGUAAUGGCAAAAACCAGCUUGACUGCGAGACGUACAUGUCGAGCAGAGACGAAAGUCGGUCAUAGUGAACUGGCGGUUCCGAAUGGAAGGGCCGUCAAUCAACGGAUAAAAGUUACCCUGGGGAUAACAGGCUGAUAACAUCCAAGAGUACACAUCGACGAUGUUGUUUGGCACCUCGAUGUCGGCUCAUCGCAUCCUGGAGGUGGAGUCGCUUCCAAGGGUUGGGCUGUUCGCCCAUUAAAGCGGUACGUGAGCUGGGUUCAGAACGUCGUGAGACAGUUCGGUCCCUAUCUGUCGCGGGCGUUGGAAAUUUGCAGGGAGCUGUCCCUAGUACGAGAGGACCGGGAUGGACGCUCCAAUGGUGCACCAGUUGGUCUGCCAAGGCCAUAGCUGGGUAGCUAAGAGCGGAAGGGAUAAACGCUGAAAGCAUCUAAGCGUGAAGCCCCCCCUAAGAUGAGAUUUCCCAUUCGCAAGAAGUAAGACCCCUCAAAGAUGAUGAGGUUGAUAGGCCAGAGGUGUACGCACGGUGACGUGUUCAGCUGACUGGUACUAAUCGGUCGAGGACUUAACUUU